rnacentral:misc_RNA from 1 species
CUAAUUCAUAAAUAAAAUUAUAAUUAACUGCGAAUAGAUGGCCAAGCAUGCGCCUUUUGUGGAAACAUCUAACGCUAAUAAAAUUGCUGGUACAAUAGUUGGACAAAUUUUCGAACGAAGAAGAAACGCUAUCGAAUUGAAAAUGACUCGAGAUUAAGGUGUGCUGGGAACGAAUCAUUGAGACGUAUAGGAUCGAAUGACGAAAUUAAAAAUACAAAUAUAAUGCAAUAUAAUAAUAUGAUAUUCGUGCAAAUGGAACGAUG